rnacentral:rRNA from 1 species
AACGCUAGCUACAGGCUUAACACAUGCAAGUCGAGGGGAAACGACAUCGAAAGCUUGCUUUUGAUGGGCGUCGACCGGCGCACGGGUGAGUAACGCGUAUCCAACCUGCCCACCACUUGGGGGUAACCUUGCGAAAGUAAGACUAAUACCCAAUGACGUCUCUAGAAGACAUCUGAAAGGGAUUAAAGAUUUAUCGGUGAUGGAUGGGGAUGCGUCUGAUUAGCUUGUUGGCGGGGUAACGGCCCACCAAGGCGACGAUCAGUAGGGGUUCUGAGAGGAAGGUCCCCCACAUUGGAACUGAGACACGGUCCAGACUCCUACGGGAGGCAGCAGUGAGGAAUAUUGGUCAAUGGACGAGAGUCUGAACCAGCCAAGUAGCGUGCAGGAUGACGGCCCUAUGGGUUGUAAACUGCUUUUAUAAGGGAAUAAAGUGAGCCUCGUGAGGCUUUUUGCAUGUACCUUAUGAAUAAGGACCGGCUAAUUCCGUGCCAGCAGCCGCGGUAAUACGGAAGGUCCGGGCGUUAUCCGGAUUUAUUGGGUUUAAAGGGAGCGUAGGCCGGAGAUUAAGCGUGUUGUGAAAUGUAGGCGCUCAACGUCUGCACUGCAGCGCGAACUGGUCUUCUUGAGUACGCACAACGUGGGCGGAAUUCGUGGUGUAGCGGUGAAAUGCUUAGAUAUCACGAAGAACUCCGAUUG